rnacentral:piRNA from 1 species
UGCUUAAAGCCACAGAUGGUUCGUGUAGGU